rnacentral:rRNA from 1 species
UACGGAGGGUGCAAGCGUUAUCCGGAUUCACUGGGUUUAAAGGGUGCGUAGGCGGCGCGGUAAGUCGGGUGUGAAAUCUCGGGGCUUAACUCCGAAACUGCAUUCGAUACUGCCGUGCUUGAGGACUGGAGAGGAGACUGGAAUUUACGGUGUAGCGGUGAAAUGCGUAGAUAUCAGGAAGAACACCUAUGGCGAAAAGCAGCUCUCUGGGACGGUACUGACGCUGAGACGCGAAAGCGUGGGGAGCGAACAGG